CCUACGGGAGGCUGCAGUGGGGAAUUUUGGACAAUGGGGGCAACCCUGAUCCAGCCAUGCCGCGUGCGGGAAGAAGGCCUUCGGGUUGUAAACCGCUUUUGUCAGGGAAGAAACGGUCUGCGCUAAUACCGCGGACUAAUGACGGUACCUGAAGAAUAAGCACCGGCUAACUACGUGCCAGCAGCCGCGGUAAUACGUAGGGUGCAAGCGUUAAUCGGAAUUACUGGGCGUAAAGCGUGCGCAGGCGGCUUUGCAAGACAGAUGUGAAAUCCCCGGGCUCAACCUGGGAACUGCAUUUGUGACUGCAUGGCUAGAGUGCGGCAGAGGGGGAUGGAAUUCCGCGUGUAGCAGUGAAAUGCGUAGAUAUGCGGAGGAACACCGAUGGCGAAGGCAAUCCCCUGGGCCUGCACUGACGCUCAUGCACGAAAGCGUGGGGAGCAAACAGGAUUAGAUACCCCAGUAGUC
rnacentral:rRNA from 1 species